CCUACGGGAGGCAGCAGUGGGGGAUAUUGCACAAUGGGGGAAACCCUGAUGCAGCGACGCCGCGUGAGUGAAGAAGUAUUUCGGUAUGUAAAGCUCUAUCAGAGGGGAAGAAAAUGCCAGUACCGGACCAAGAAGCCACGGCUAACUACGUGCCAGCAGCCGCGGUAAUACGUAGGGGGCAAGCGUUAUCCGGAUUUACUGGGUGUAAGGGGAGCGUAGACGGUUAUGUAAGUCUGGAGUGAAAGCCCGGGGCCCAACCCCGGGACUGCUUUGGAAACUGUGUAACUGGAGUACAGGAGGGGCAGGCGGAAUUCCUGGUGUAGCGGUGAAAGGCGUAGAUAUCAGGAGGAACACCGGCGGCGAAGGCGGCCUGCUGGACUGAAACUGACGUUGAGGCUCGAAAGCGUGGGGAGCAAACAGGAUUAGAUACCCCUGUAGUC
rnacentral:rRNA from 1 species